UCUCUCUCUCUCUCUCUCUCCCCCCCGUCUCCCCCACAUACGUUGCUUUACUUUUGGUCUCUCCACAAGCAAAGCAAACCCUAAAAUGAAGAAGAAAGGCAAGACCCUCUUCUUACACACAUGCAUACAUAUGUGUAUGUAUGGCAAAUCGAUCAAGAUUGCCUAUCUUGGGGUUGCUUGUAUUGAGGUGCAGACUGAAGGAAUGAAACCGGAAAUAAAGACUUAUCGCUCGAUGGCCCCUUGGGAGUUUUGGAGUUUGUUUGGUUGGAGACUUUCAGUUCUAUGGGAAAUUUGAGCUUGUUCCUUAAGUGUGCUUUUUUUUCCCCCCUACACGAUGGAACCCUUCACAGCUAUGAAGCCACUGGAUUUGGAGAAGGUUAUUUAUAUUUUGAUUGAUCGUUUAGGGUUCUUGAUUAGUGGCUCUAGCACUUCGAUUGAAAGAAAUGGCUGAGUUUGUUCCAACCUUUCCCUCGAACGCAUUUGUGGCGAAGGCAGCGUUGUGGUGCAACAGGUUUAUAAGAUGCCUCCGUGUUGCCCUUGAGGCUUUACUAUGGAUUUGGUACAAAACUAUUAUCAACUUCGAGCCAUCUCAUGAAUUGUUCGAUGGGAUCCAAACCCCAACAGUAUCUUCAGAAAUGGCCAUUGGUAAUACCACCUCCUCUGCUACAGUUUUGAUCAAAAAUGAAAUGCAAGAUGCUCAUCUCAAAAUUCUCAGCCUUAAUUUGCUAUCUUCCUCUAUUUGUUCAUUUCUUUUCCACUCUACAGCUAACAUUUUUUGUUGGUUUUAUAGACAAUAAUUGCCUAGCAUUUAUAAGCACUCAACUAAUUUGAGGUCGACAGCUAUGAAGGUUUGUCCACGGACUAAUUUCCUACUAUGGUUUUUGUUGUUCAAUAUAUGUUUGUUUAGAUAAACCAAAAUUGGUAACAAUGUUGUCUUUAAAUUCCAGUAAAACAUGUUAGUAUACAUACAGGCAGUUAAAAUUAACCGUAAUUAGUGUGGUUGCUAAAGAUUCUAUUUCAUUAUACUUGUUUUUUCGAUAGUCCUUAUUUCUUCCAGCUACUGGAAUGAUAAUUAAUAAGUUGAGGUGUAGUCCUGGAUGCUUUAACAUUUACGAGAUUUCAUUUUUCGGUUGCAUUAAUUAUUUCAGUUUAUGGUAUCUUUUGCCAUGUUGAAUCAAAUUAUAGUUCUAUUUUAAGUUUUAUUUCAGCACUUGGAACUCUAAGCUUGAGAGGUUUUGUCAUUAGCUUCCCUAAUUGCUUUCCAGAUUAUUGAUGGGGUGAGGGUUUUAUCUUUGCAAAUUGGCCAAAACAAACGCCUAACACAUCAUCUGGGCUUCAUAUUCACGUGCAUAUACCUGUAAGAUGUCACAUUUACUUUAAGAUGCUCAUACUGAAACAUAUUAAUGACCUUUUAGUUAGUCGAUAAGAUUGAAAGAUGUCUUUCUUUAGACAAAUACUUUAAAUUCUUGUUUAUUUUCUCUAACACAAAUGAUUAGAACGUUAACUUCUACAUUCAUUUAUAUUCUAUUAGGAAGCUUUUAUGUUGAGACAAAAAUCAUAUGGGAAUUUGUGGAACUUGAGUGCAAUAUACACGAUAUUUGUAACCUUUUCUUUGUAGUGCUCUCGGAAUCUUGCAACAAAGUUUACUGAAUUUAAGCACUAUACUCAAUCCCAGUAGGUCCAUAUAAGAGUUUAAUUGCUGAAACCAUGUGACACAGUAGACGAUGAUGAGCCAAUUGCUGAGGGUGAAACAAACAAGGUUGAUACUAAGGCACAUCUUUUCAAGGCUAGAUAGAAAUUAUGGAUGGGCAAGGCAGACUUUUCAGCAAGAUUCAUCAACUAUAUGCCGGAGUGGUGACAACAUAUGCAGCUCCCCACAGAUUCAGCUUGUUGGGCACUCAAUUGUAAAUUGUUUCAUUGAGAACUUAAAACUAUGUCGAAUGUAGCACAUUUCCAAUAUCAUGAUAGUUUUAUUCAACCUUGUAUUUUUAUCAUGUAAAACAUUUGUAAUUUUGAGUUCCUUUUGAGGCAUGUGCUAUGAAUCCUUACAAAUCCAUACAGAGGAACGAUGACAUUUUACAUUCAGCAUUUUAUAUGUGCAUGAGUAGUUGUUUUCAAUGCAGUAAUUCAUUUCCUA